UGUUUACAUUCAGUUUUCUUAUUAAUAACGUGUUUCUAACAUAUUAAUUUGUCGUUUCUAGCAAAUCAAGAAACAGUAUAAAAAAAUUUUGCAGUAACCUAUUUCGGAGACGUAAAUUAUUCAGAUUGCUCUAGGGUGAAUCAUUGUUUUACUUAACAAAGCAUACAGGCGUCUUCUGUAUGAAAACCAAUUUUUAAAUUUUCGACAUGUUGUCGUAGUGGCUUGAUAUAACGUGGAUUUAUAUGUGCAUUGCUGUCUCCCAGUGAGAGGUUACAACAGUUAGUGAAAGUUAACCCACUCGUCAACUGAAAUAUGGCAUCCUUACUAAAUCUUCAAAUCCGAGUGUCCGCAAGAAGAACCUGAAGUUCCCCUUGGUACCUCUCCAAAUGGUAGUGCUGUGUACAAGUGGACUGCGCUGCUUCAGUUGGAAUUUCACGCCAUCCAGAUCCAGAAAUAUAAUCCUGUACACGAUUCCUAACUCUUUGUUGUUGUGACUUCUUUAUCCCCUAGGUAUCAGAUACUGUGUUGGAAGUUAACCAACGACCACAGGUAGCGGAUACACAGGUACUACCUAUACCAACACCCUGGAGGUCUUUAUGAAGAAACAAACUGAGGCAAUACAUUGAUGACGUCAAUGAAGACAUAACGAGAAACGACUUGCGGUCGAAUAUUUAUUUAAGUUACAGCAGUGGAAAACGAAAUUGUGUGUGCUGAUAUCACUUGAAAACUUAACCAGUAAAUGCACCUAACCCUGUCAGUACGCCAUCAGUCGUGGAUCACUAUUACCGGCUAGUUUCUCGUACUAAUUGGCUUGAUACAACGUGGACUUAUAUGUGGAUUGCUGUCUCCCAGUUAGAGGUUAGUGAAAGUUAACCCACUCGUCAAGUGACAUCUGGAAUUCUCACUAAAUCUUCAAAUCUGAGCCUCUGCAAGAAGAACCUGAAGGUCCCCUUGGUACCUCUCCAAAUGAGGCUGUUUCCUGAUAUGCCUCCAUUGUCGAUAAUCUUGUGGCAUCGAAGUCCAAAUUGCAUGUUGCAUUUUGAUGAACUCCAUCUAGUGCAUUGUGGUUACCGUAUGGUUAAAGUUUGUGAAGUUCUUUGUUUCCGGAAAGAACUCCAAACUGUUAGCUGAGAAGAAACAAGGCGUACUGUCGUAACCAAACCGAAGAUUCAUGGCUAAAUUUGCUGCAGAGCCCACUGCAUGACCUAUUGAAGAUGAAAUUUAAAAGUUACGCACACAAUUUCUGGACAGGAAGCAUUUAAGGCCUAUGGGAGCGCCUAUGGGAGGUCCCAGAUGUUCCCCUUGCUGCGGCCUAUCAUGUGUGACCACUCCGUAGGAGCUGGAAUGAAGCACAAGUUGAGAAGACUUGCAGUCGUUGUGGGACCUUCUUCUCCAAGAAGCUUAAUCCAGUCCAACGACUCCAAUUAAAAGUGGGCAAAUACAUGUCUGACUAUCCUAUUUGAUAUGCAUUAAAUAGAUUGUGGUAUAUUAAU